UACGAGAGGCGCAAACGUUAUUCGGAAUUACUGGGCUUAAAGAGUUCGUAGGCGGCGCAGAAAGUAGGGUGUGAAAGCCCUCGGCUCAACCGAGGAAUUGCGCUCUAAACUACUGUGCUUGAGGGACCUAGAGGUGAGCGGAACUGAUGGUGGAGCGGUGAAAUGCGUUGAUAUCAUCAGGAACACCGGAGGCGAAGGCGGCUCACUGGCCCGGUACUGACGCUGAGGUGCGAAAGCGUGGGGAGCAAACAGG
rnacentral:rRNA from 1 species